rnacentral:rRNA from 1 species
UUAAACGUCCAUAGCGCGUUAAAUACACCGGUUCUCGUCCGAUCACCGAAGCUAAGCAAUGCCGGGUGCGGUCAGUACUUGGAUGGGUGACCGCCUGGGAACACCACAUAACGUUGGCU